rnacentral:rRNA from 1 species
AGAUUGAACGCCUGGCGGCAGGCCUAACACAUGCAAGUCGAGCGGCAGCACGGGUACUUGUACCUGGUGGCGAGCGGCGGACGGGUGAGUAAUGCCUAGGAAUCUGCCUGGUAGUGGGGGAUAACGCUCGGAAACGGACGCUAAUACCGCAUACGUCCUACGGGAGAAAGCAGGGGACCUUCGGGCCUUGCGCUAUCAGAUGAGCCUAGGUCGGAUUAGCUAGUUGGUGAGGUAAUGGCUC